rnacentral:rRNA from 1 species
GAUGAACGUUGGCGGCGUGCCUAAUACAUGCAAGUCGAACGAAGACUGUAGUAAUACUGUCUUAGUGGCGAACGGGUGAGUAACGCGUGGGUGACCUGCCCCGAAGUGUGGGAUAACAGUCCGAAAGGAUUGCUAAUACUGCAUAAUAUCCAAGAGAUUAGAUGCUUUUGGAUUAAAGGAGUAAUUCGCUUCGGGAGGGGCCCGCGUCCCAUCAGCUAGUUGGUAAGGUAAUGGCUUACCAAGGCGAUGACGGGUAGGGGACCUGAGAGGGUGGCCCCCCACAAUGGAACUGAAACACGGUCCAUACACCUACGGGUGGCAGCAGUAGGGAAUAUUAGUAAUGGGCGAAAGCCUGAACUAGCAACGCCGCGUGUGCGAAGAAGGCCUUCGGGUUGUAAAGCACUUUUUGAGAGGAUGAGGAAGGACGGUACUCUCAGAAUAAGUCUCGGCUAACUACGUGCCAGCAGCCGCGGUAAGAGUGUGUGUA